rnacentral:rRNA from 1 species
GAUGAACGCUGGCGGCGUGCCUAAUACAUGCAAGUCGAGCGAACAGACGAGGAGCUUGCUCCUCUGACGUUAGCGGCGGACGGGUGAGUAACACGUGGAUAACCUACCUAUAAGACUGGGAUAACUUCGGGAAACCGGAGCUAAUACCGGAUAAUAUAUUGAACCGCAUGGUUCAAUAGUGAAAGACGGUUUUGCUGUCACUUAUAGAUGGAUCCGCGCCGCAUUAGCUAGUUGGUAAGGUAACGGCUUACCAAGGCAACGAUGCGUAGCCGACCUGAGAGAGGGGUAGCCCACAUGGGAACGGGGACACGGUCAAGACGACUACGGGACGCAGCAGAAGGGAAUGGUCCGCAGUGGGCGAAAGCCUGACGGAGUAGCGGCACGUGAGUGAUGGAGGUGUUCGGUGCGUAAAACUCUGUUAUUAGGGAAGAACAAAUGUGUAAGUAACUAUGCACGUCUUGACGGUAGAUGAUGAGAAAGCCACGGCUAACUACGUG